rnacentral:tRNA from 1 species
GUCCGUCUAGCUCAAUCGGAUAGAGCGUCAGGCUCUUACUAGCGGGUGAUCUGAAGGCUACGAGUUCGACCCUCGUGGUGCGCU